ACGAACGCUGGCGGCGCGCCUAACACAUGCAAGUCGAACGAGCGAGAGAGAGCUUGCUUUCUCGAGCGAGUGGCGAACGGGUGAGUAACGCGUGAGGAACCUGCCUCAAAGAGGGGGACAACAGUUGGAAACGACUGCUAAUACCGCAUAAGCCCACGACCCGGCAUCGGGUAGAGGGAAAAGGAGCAAUCCGCUUUGAGAUGGCCUCGCGUCCGAUUAGCUAGUUGGUGAGGUAACGGCCCACCAAGGCGACGAUCGGUAGCCGGACUGAGAGGUUGAACGGCCACAUUGGGAUUGAGACACGGCCCAGACUCCUACGGGAGGCAGCAGUGGGGAAUAUUGCACAAUGGGGGAAACCCUGAUGCAGCGACGCCGCGUGGAGGAAGAAGGUCUUCGGAUUGUAAACUCCUGUUGUUGAGGAAGAUAAUGACGGUACUCAACAAGGAAGUGACGGCUAACUACGUG
rnacentral:rRNA from 1 species